rnacentral:rRNA from 1 species
CCGUAAUAGGGUAGGCGGAGGGAAACCGAGUCUUAAUAGGGCGUUUAGUUGCAAGGAGUAGACCCGAAACCGGGUGAUCUAUCCAUGGCCAGUGUGAAGGUGGGGUAAUUCCUACUGGAGGCACGAACCCACUUAUGUUGAAAAAUGAGGGGAUGAGCUGUGGAUCGGAGUGAAAGGCUAAUCAAACCCGGAGAUAGCUGGUUCUCCGCGAAAGCUAUUUAGGUAGCGCCUCGUGUAUUACUGUUGGGGGUAGAGCACUGUUAUGGCUAGGGGUCCAUCCCGGAUUACCAAACCAUUGCAAACUCCGAAUACCAACAAGUAGAGCACGGGAGACAGACUGCGGGUGCUAACGUCCGUAGUCAAGAGGGAAACAACCCAGACCAACAGCUAAGGUCCCAAAAUUAUGACUAAGUGGAAAACGAAGUGGGAAGGCCCAGACAUCCAGGAGGUUGGCUUAGAAGCAGCCAUCCUUUAAAGAAAGCGUAAUAGCUCACUGGUUGAGUCGGCCUGCGCGGAAGAUUUAACGGGGCUCAAGUCAUAUACCGAAGCUUUGGACUCUAGUUUACUAGAGUGGUAGCGGAGCGUUCUGUACGUCACUGAAGGUGUAUCGUGAGAUAUGCUGGAGAUAUCAGAAGUGCGAAUGCUGACAUAAGUAACGAUAAUGUAGGUGAGAACCCUACACGCCGAAAACCUAAGGUUUCCUCCGCAACGUCAAUCGGCGGAGGGUUAGUCGGUACCUAAGGCGAGGCCGAAAGGCGUAGUCGAUGGAAAACAGGUUAAUAUUCCUGUACUCCUUUAUAUUGCGAUGGGGGGACGGAGAAGGUUAAAUCAGCCAGUCAACGGUUAUACUGGUUUAAGCAGGUAGGAAUGUUUCUUUGGUAAAUCCGGGAAGCUUUAUUCCGAGAUGCGACGACGAAGUUUUUUCUUCGGGAAAAACGAAGUGAUCUAUACCAUACUUCCAAGAAAAUCCUCUAAGCUUCAGAUAUAAAGAAGCCGUACCCUAAACGGACACACGUAGGUGGGAUGAGAAUUCUAAGGCGCAUGAGAGAACUCAGUUGAAGGAACUAGGCAAAAUGAUACCGUAACUUCGGGAGAAGGUAUGCCCUUUGUAUGUGAAGCCACUUGCUGGCUGAGCAAAAGAGGGUAGCAUUAAAACGAUGGCUGCGACUGUUUACUAAAAACACAGCACUCUGCAAACACGUAAGUGGAAGUAUAGGGUGUGACGCCUGCCCGGUGCCGGAAGGUUAAUUGAUGGGGUAAGUUAAUUUAUUAGCGAAGCUCUUGAUCGAAGCCCCGGUGAACGGCGGCCGUAACUAUAACGGUCCUAAGGUAGCGAAAUUCCUUGUCGGGUAAGUUCCGACCUGCACGAAUGGCGUAACGAUGGCCAUACUGUCUCCAACUGAGACUCAGUGAAAUUGAAAUCGCUGUGAAGAUGCAGUGUACGCGCGGCUAGACGGAAAGACCCCGUGCACCUUUACUACAGCUUUACACUGAACUUUGAAUUCAAUUGUGUAGCAUAGCUGGGAGACUUUGAAACUGAUGCGCUAGCAACAGUGGAGUCAACCUUUGAAAUACCAGCCUAUUGCCUUUGAAGUUCUAACCCAGAACCGUUAUCCGGUUCGGAGACAGUGUAUGGUGGGUAGUUUGACUGGGGCGGUCUCCUCCUAAAGAGUAACGGAGGAACGCGAUGGUACCCUCAAUACGGUUGGAAAUCGUAUGAUGCGUGUAAAGGCAUAAGGGUGCUUGACUGCGAGACAGACAUGUCGAGCAGGUAGGAAACUAGGUCUUAGUGAUCCGGUGGUUCUGUAUGGAAGGGCCAUCGCUCAAUGGAUAAAAGGUACGCCGGGGAUAACAGGCUGAUACUGCCCAAGAGCUCAUAUCGACGGCAGUGUUUGGCACCUCGAUGUCGGCUCAUCACAUCCUGGGGGUGAAGCAGCUCCCAAGGGUAUGGCUGUUCGCCAUUUAAAGUGGUACGCGAGCUGGGUUUAGAACGUCGUGAGACAGUUCGGUCCCUAUCUACCGUGCGCGUUUGAUAUUUGAUGGAAGUUGCUCCUAGUACGAGAGGACCGGAGUGAACCUAUCCCUGGUGUUCCAGUUGUCUCACCAGAGGCAUUGCUGGGUAGCUAUAUAGGGUUGUGAUAACCGCUGAAAGCAUCUAAGCGGGAAGCCAUACCAAAGAUAAGAUAUCACUGGACCUUUAAGGUCCCUAAAGAUCCGUUCAAGACUAGGACGUUGAUAGGCUGGGUGUGGAAGCUAGGUAACUAGUGAAGCUAACCAGUACUAAUUGAUCGUGAGGCUUGAUCUU